rnacentral:rRNA from 1 species
GGUGUUUUAACGGCCGCGGUAUUUUGACCGUGCAAAGGUAGCAUAAUCAUUUGUCCUUUUAUUGGGGGCUGGUAUGAAGGAAAGAUUGUGAGCUUAGCUGUCUUUUUGUAAUGUGUGGAAUUUGUUGUUUUUGUGAAGAAACAAAAAUGUAGAAAAAAGACAAGAAGACCCUAUUAAGCUUUAUUUUUAUUAGUUUUUAUUUUUCUUUGUAAGUAUCUUUUUAAAUGCUUAAAAAAUUUGGUUGGGGUGACCAAAAAGGACAUGAUCCUCUUUUAUUUGUUUUACUUUAUGUUUAAUGUAGAUCCAGAAUUUUCUGAUUAAAAGAAUUAGUUACUAUAGGGAUAACAGCGUAAUUUUUUCUGAGAGUUCUGAUUGAAGAAAAAGUUUGCGACCUCGAUGUUGACUUAUUAUUUCCUGUUAAGGUGCAGCAGCUUUUAGGGUUAGUCUGUUCGACUAUUAAAAUAAU